rnacentral:rRNA from 1 species
UACGGAUUGUGCAAACGUUAUUCGGAAUCACUGGGCUUAAAGAGUCCGUAGGCGGCCUGUUAGGUGAGGUGUGAAAUCCCCCGGCUCAACCGAGGAAUUGCGCUUCAAACCGGCGUGCUAGAGGAAGAUAGAGGUGGGCGGAACUGAUGGUGGAGCGGUGAAAUGCGUAGAGAUGUGGAGGAACACCAGUGGCGAAGGCGACUCUUUGGCCUGUAACUGACGCUGAGGCGCGAAAGCGUGGGGAGCAAACAGG